UACGGAGGGGGCUAGCGUUGUUCGGAAUUACUGGGCGUAAAGCGCACGUAGGCGGCUUUGUAAGUUAGAGGUGAAAGCCCGGGGCUCAACUCCGGAAUUGCCUUUAAGACUGCAUCGCUAGAAUUGUGGAGAGGUGAGUGGAAUUCCGAGUGUAGAGGUGAAAUUCGUAGAUAUUCGGAAGAACACCAGUGGCGAAGGCGACUCACUGGACACAUAUUGACGCUGAGGCACGAAGGCCAGGGGAGCAAACGGG
rnacentral:rRNA from 1 species